GGAUGUGAGGGCGAUCUAGCUGCGACAUCUGUCACCCCAUUGACCUCCAGGGUUGAUUCGGCUGAUCUGGAUGGCUAGGUGGGUGUCCCCUUCCUCCAUCACUGCUCUGUGUGCGUCCCUCCCGAAGCUGUGCACUCAGUGGAAGAGGACAACCAUCCCGGGUAGAGGAGGAUCAGUCUUUGAUCAAGGCUCUAUGAAUAGCUGCAGUCCCCUAGAACCUCCAAACAAGCUCUCAAGGUCCAUAAAAUAUCCAUGUAUUACCUGGGAGCUAUUCAUCCAUGAACUAACCCAGUUGUUCUUAACU
rnacentral:snRNA from 1 species